UACGUAGGGGGCAAGCGUUGUCCGGAAUCAUUGGGCGUAAAGAGCGCGUAGGCGGCCCGGUAAGUCCGCUGUGAAAGUCAAAGGCUUAACCUUUGAAUGUCAGCGGAUACUGCCGGGCUAGAGUCCGGAAGAGGCGAGUGGAAUUCCUGGUGUAGCGGUGGAAUGCGCAGAUAUCAGGAGGAACACCAACGGCGAAGGCAGCUCGCUGGGACGGUACUGACGCUGAGGCGCGAAAGCCAGGGGAGCAAACGGG
rnacentral:rRNA from 1 species